UAGAGCUGCCAGCAACCGACGUCUGCGGUGGAGGAGCUACGGCGUAGUUGUGGCGACUCCUCUUCGUUUUUACUCAAUUUACCCUAAACUCAUAAACACACAUUUAGAGAGAGAAAGACAGAAUGAGAGAGAACGACGUGAGAGAGAAACCGAUGAAAGGAAGAGGAAGCCGAUCACCCCAACCGGAUCAAGGUGAUGAUGGCGACGACUCCGACAACCAGAUUGGCAGCGAUGCACUAGGGUUCCAGUUUGGGAUUUUUGAAACCAGAUAGUGAAGGUGUUGAGGACGUCUGCAAUCUGGUUGUCCAGUUUGGGGGUUUUGAAACACACAGCCGGAAUUAACAGUUCAUGACUCAGCCGUAGGUCACCGCCAUCGCAGACCGUUCCACCGUUUCGAGUUCGCUGUUGUAUCCCAAGAUCCAACGAUGGUUUGAGCUCGAUUUCAAAGUCUCUAAUGAUCCGAAGAUCGUGCUUCAGAGGUACCAGUAUAUUGGGGAGAAGAGGAAGGGGCUGGAUGUUUUGAAAGAGGGAUUUGAUGAUGAAGAGAAGCUUUCAAGAACCGUGUUUGUUGGGAAUCUGCCUUUGAAGGUGAAGAAGAAGGCAUUGUUGAAAGAGUUUAGUCAGUUUGGAGAGAUAGAAUCCGUUCGAAUUUGAUCUACUCCUUUAUUAGAUGAUAAAACUCCAAGAAAGGGUGCUGUGAUCAAGAAGAAAAUCAAUGAUGCUGUUGACAGGGUUAAUUCAUACAUUGUUUUCAAGACCAAAGAUUCUGCCCAAGCUUCUUUGUCACAUAACAAUAUAACAUGGCAGUUGUGGGUGGAAAUCAUAUUCAUGUAGACAGAGCUUGUCCGCCUCGCAAGAAACUUAAGGAAGAAAACGCUCCCGGAUUACCUUAUGUUGGAGAAGCAAUAACGCCAUCUGGCAACUGGCUUAUUGGUCGAGAUCCAGAAGUAUAAUAAGGCCCUACCACCAACCCUUCGGGGCAUGCAUCAAAUGUGCCAGGGGCAGUAGCACAGGACCAGAGUUAUUAAGUGAAUAUCCGCCGCAUCGCGGCGAGUUACUUUUCUAGUUAGUUCUAAUUUAGAAGUUUUGUCCUAUCCCAUGUUCCCAGUAAAAUACCAUUAAGUUUUCAAAUAAACAUUUUUUUGACCCAUUUCCUUGUAGCGUGCCCACAACCCCACUUCACCUCCAUUUCAAAUGUAUCCUAUUUUAUUUUCAACAAGCGUACACUUUGAAAUUAGUUUUUGAAAGGAUUUUUGUAACUCGGAAAAUACUUUUUUGAA
rnacentral:lncRNA from 1 species